rnacentral:rRNA from 1 species
CACGUAGUUAGCCGGUACUUCUUCUGCAGGUACCGUCACCUUACGGCUUCUUCCCUGCUGAAAGCGGUUUACAACCCGAAGGCCGUCAUCCCGCACGCUGCGUCGCUGCAUCAGGGUUUCCCCCAUUGUGCAAUAUUCCCCACUGCUGCCUCCCGUAGGAGUCUGGGCCGUGUCUCAGUCCCAGUGUGGCCGGUCGCCCUCUCAGGCCGGCUACCCGUCGUCGCCUUGGUAGGCCAUUACCCCACCAACAAGCUGAUAGGCCGCGAGCCCAUCCCCCGAUCGAAAAACUUUCCACCAACCCUCAUGCGAGGGUUGGUCGUAUCCGGUAUUAGACCCAGUUUCCCAGGCUUAUCCCGAAAUCAGGGCAGGUUACUCACGUGUUACUCACCCGUUCGCCACUCAUCCACCCGAAGCAAGUCCUUCGGGCUUCAGCGUUCGACUUGCAUGUGUUAAGCACGCAGCCAGCGUUCGUCCUGACGCCAGGCUACAAACUCU